UGUGGGAAAUUCUUCCCCCCAAAUGGCUAAAACUCCAAAAUUAUUAGCGGGAAUACUCCCUCCAAAUUUUCAAGAGUAAAAGUAAGGUGACUAAUUUAGUAAUUUCUAAAAUACAAAAAACAAAAAAAAAAAAAACAAUAAGGAAAAAAAAAAAAAAAAAAAAAAAAAAACCCUAAAGUCCUAAAUCUUCCUCAAUCCUCAGCUGUUUUCAACUUUUCACUCUCUUUUGUCUUUCACUCUUCUGAGUUCUGACUUCUCUAAUCUUCCUCAUCUGAUCUCAAGCGCUUCGGCAAGGCAAGAUUUAGCCCAAGCCCCAUCUCCAUCUUCUUCACCUGCCGCUGGAUCAACCCCAACUCCUCCAGCAAUGGAUGAUCAUAUUAUUUACGACGAGCCUAUUUUUUCACCAGAGGAUGAGUGUACACCAGAGGAAGAAGCCAAUGUUCGUACACAAGAGGAAGAAGCCAAUGUUCGUACACAAGAGGAAGAAGCCAAUGUUCGUACACAAGAGGAAGAAGCCAAUGUUCGUACACAAGAGGAAGUAGCCAAUGUUUGUACACAAGAGGAAGAAGCUGGUGAUCCUAAAGUUACAGUUCAAUACAAUAAUGUGAGCACUAUGGAAUCUGGAUUUCAAGCUGUAGAAAAGAAACAGAGUCUAGUUUGGCAGGAAUUCCUCACGCUUGACAAGACGGAAUCUAGUGAUGGAAAGCAGAGGUCAAUUUGAAAACAUUGCCAAAAAGCAUCCUUCAUAACCGACCCCCAUUAUGGAACAAAAAAUAUGCAAAGACAUCUAAGAAAAUGCAGUGCAUAUGAGAAAUAUUUGAAAAACCAAGGAGGAAACGGUUCAAACAAAGGUAAAAUCUUUAACCAAAUUGUGUACAGAAAUUUGGUAGCUAAAGCCAUAAUAAAACAUGGGUAUGCUUUCUCUUGGGUUGAGCAUGAUGGUAAUAGAGAAAUUCAUGCAUAUUUAAGUGAUGAUGUAAAAUUCAUUUGUAGGAAUACUGCUAAAGCUGAUUGUUUAAAAAUGCAUAAAAUUUUGAAGGGUCAGUUAAAGGAAACACUUAGUAAAGUCUCUAGUCGUAUCUCAUUAACAUGUGAUAUGUGGACCUCUUGUCAAACUGAGGAAUAUUUGUCUGACAGCUCACUAUGUAGAUGAUAAUUGGAAAUUAAUUAGUACAGUGCUUAACUUUAGUCAUAUUGAUUCACCACACAUCGGAAAGACCAUGUAUGCUGCUGUGUUGUCCAUGCUUCAAGAUUGGGGUAUUGAUGAUAAGAUUUUUUGCUUCACAUUAGACAAUGCCUCUAGUAAUGAUAGAAUGCAAGAUUAUUUGAAGGAAACUCUACUUGCACGAGAUGCUUUGUUGUAUAAUGGUGAGUUUUUUCAUGUACAAUGUGCUGCACAUGUAUUAAAUCUCAUUGUUAAAGAUGGACUUAAGGUCAUUGAACAUAUAGUUGAGAAAGUAAGACAUUGUGUGAAGAAGGUAAAAUAUUCUGAAACAAGAAAAAACACUUUUCGAUCUUGCGUAAGUCUAGCUAAGAUAAAAGAAACAAAAUCAUUGUGGCUUGAUGUUCCUACGAGGUGGAACUCCACGUACAUGAUGCUUGAUAGGGCUAUCUUAUAUCGUGAGGCUUUUAGGGAGAUGUCUGAAGUUCAAAAAUGGUGUCCUACCUUUGAAGAGUGGGAUAUUCUUGAGAAGAUUCGAGAUGUUUUAGAACCCUUCUAUGAGAUAACUAAGAUGUUCUCGGGAAGUGAGUAUCCUACCUCAAAUAUUUAUUUUGGGAAUGUUUAGAAGAUUCUCAUGCUUUUGAUAGAGUUGGAGCACGAUGAUGAUGAUGUUUUGAGGACAAUGGCAAUAGAAAUGAAGAGCAAGUUUGAUAAGUAUUGGUUUAACUCAGAACAAGAUGAUUAUGGCAUGUUAUUUGCAUUUGCUAUGAUUCUUGAUCCUCGUUCCAAAUUAUCAGUGCUAAAGUAUUGUUAUGAAAGCAUAUUUGGAGAUGUUGAGGCUACCUUGAGAGUUAGUGAUCUCCAUCUUAAGUUGGAGAAAUUUUAUAAGCUAUAUGCCAAAACUAGAACAUCAUCGACAUUGAACAACACUGAUAUGGCACAUGCCUCAAAUUCCAGAGCCUUCAUAAGCAGCACUUCAACUGGAAACCGCAAGCGAAAAUUCGACUAUUUUGCGGAAUAUGACGAUAAAGAAGCCUCAUCUUCUUUUGAUGAGAGGUCAAUAUUGGAUGUUUACCUUGAGGACCCUAAACUAGAUCGGAAAGCAGAGCUUGACAUAUUAGCUUUUUGGAAAGAAAAUGAGCAUCGAUAUAAAGGCCUUUCUCAUUUGGCUAGAGAUAUUUUGGCCGUGCCCCUAACAAUCGUCGCUUCCGAAUCAACUAUCAGCAUUGAGAGUUGAGUAUUGAAUGAAAAGUUCAUUAAUUCCUGAAAAUGUGGAGGCUUUAAUAACAACUCGUAGUUGGAUGUACUCUUUUGAAACAAAUGAGGAUGAUGGAUUUUUUGGUUCUUAUGUGGAUUGGGCGGCGGCUCCAAGUGUUAAUUGUCAACAAUUUUAAGAGUCGAAUAUUGGAGUAUAAUUAUUUAGAAUAUUUUGUAAUUUCAUUUGGUAUUGAACAUUAUGUACGCAUUAUUAUUGUACUAUUUUUUUUCUAGACUUGUGAGAAUUAUGACUUUUAUUUCAAGCUUUAGUAAAUUUUUUCUCAAUCUUACGGACAAACUCCGUAGAAUAGUCGUUAAAUUUCAAUCUUUUUACGAAUUU